CUCAUUUUAUUCUUACAACAACCCUGAUAGCUUCUCUUUUUAUCACUAUUUUUCAGAUGAAGAAACUGGGGCUGAGAGAGAUUAAGUGACUAGCCCAGGCUCACAGAGCUAUUAAGUGUCUGGAUCAGGAUUUGAAGUCAGGUCUUCCUAACUCCCAGGGCAUAAUACCUGUAUGCCCUCCUUCUGUUUUUGCAGAAAGUCAUCAAAGCCCAAUGGCAGAAUAAAAGUCUGGAUGAUUGGCAAUGGCCUAGGAUACAGCGGCUGCCUCUAGUAUCUUUGAUGUCUGGCCAAGUUCUAAGCUCUCCACAGUGAAUGCUUCAGCUGAUUUUAUGUCCAUUGGAACACAGUGAGUAAAACCACUUACCUGAAAUCAUACAGAUAGUCAUUGAAGGGGCAGUGUUUGAACUCAGAUCCCCUGGCUCUCAAACCAUGACCAG
rnacentral:lncRNA from 1 species